CUACGUGGCUGGCAGCGGCCAUCCGUGAUGGUGAAGCCAGAGUUCUCAGGGCGAGGCUUAGCUGUUGCACUCGGGUGGCCUGACCCUUGCUAUUGCCCCAGAUGUGGACAACUCAACGGCGUAAUUUGUGGUAGCGGAGGACUUUGUACUUUCUCCUU
rnacentral:snRNA from 1 species